UACGUAGGGGGCAAGCGUUAUCCGGAAUUACUGGGUGUAAAGGGAGAGUAGGCGGCAUGAUAAGUUAGAUGUGAAAGCCUUGGGCUUAACCCGAGGAUUGCAUUUAAAACUAUCAAGCUAGAGUACAGGAGAGGUAAGUGGAAUUCCUAGUGUAGCGGUGAAAUGCGUAGAUAUUAGGAAGAACACCAGUGGCGAAGGCGACUUACUGGACUGAAACUGACGCUGAGGCUCGAAAGCGUGGGGAGCGAACAGG
rnacentral:rRNA from 1 species